rnacentral:lncRNA from 10 species
GCAGGAGCCCACCGGCGGGGGUGGGGAGGCUCAGGCAUGGCGGACUGCAGGUCCCGAGCCCUGCCCCGCGGGGAGGCAGCUAAGGCCCAGCGAGAAAUCGAGCACAGCAGCUGCUGGGCCAGGUGCUAAGCCCCUCACUGCGCGGGGCUUGCGCGCCCACCGGCCGGCCGCUCCGAGUGCGGGGCCUGCCGAGGCCACGCCCACCCGGAACUCGCGCUGGCCCGCAAGCGCCGCGCGCAGCCCUGGUUCCCGCCCGUGCCUCUUCCUCCACACUUUCCCGCAAGCUGAGGGAGCCGGCUCCCGCCUUGGCCAGCCCGGAAAGGGGCUCCCACGGUGCAGCGGUGGGCUGAAGGGCUCCUCAAGCACGGCCAGAGUGGGCGCCAAGGCCGAGGAGGCCCCGAGAGCGAGCGAGGGCUGCCAGUAUGCUGUCACCUCUCAUUAUUAUUUGCCGAUGGGAGUGGAGAAGGAGACUUGGUGAUAACAGGACUGAAAACCUUGUGUAGCCUACAGUCCAUAUGCUUCAGUCUAUUGUGUCUUGAUCUAAGAAGAGAUGCAGAACAGAUGCUAAGAAGACUUAGACGCAAUGAGCCCCAGAAACAGUUACCUUGCAUGAACAGAACUUCUGGCAACUCCUACCCGAUUCUAGACCAAGAGAAUAAGCUCUGGUGUUAGCCCUGUUCCCUGCUCUCUAUUUUAGUUUUGAUCUUUACUCUCAAAGAUCUAAUUUUGUACAGCUGACUUUUGCAUUUUUAUUGUACAUUUUGUCCAGUAUUUCCGUGAUUUAGAAUGAAAAUGGGGUGCUUGAAGUUAUAAUGUUACAAUGAAUGGAAGUUGAAACUUUAAUUAUACAAUUAUUAACUGAAAUAUUUUCAUUCUUCCUGCAGUUUGUUCCAUAGAGCUAUAGAAAAAUAUGAUUGAACAAACGUUUGUAUAAUGCAUUUGUGUAAUUUUAGAUAUCACAAUAGAAAAUAUAGUUAGGCCGGGUGUGGUUGCCUGUAAUCCCAGCACUUUGGGAGGCUGAAUCAGGAGGAUCAUGAGGUCAGGAGUUCGAGACCAGCCUGGCCAGCAUGGGGAAACCUCAUCUCUACUAAAAAUACAAAAAAUCAGCUGGGAAUGGUGUUGCACGCCUGUAGUUCUGGCUACUAGGGAGGCUGAA